rnacentral:lncRNA from 1 species
UUCUUUUCAUAUGAUGAGUAUCUUCUAUUAAUCAACCAAACUUAUUUCUAUUAUGUGAUGCUUCUUUUUAUAACCCCAUCACUGAGAUUUCUAACAACCAUAUAUCUAAUGAAUUUGAUUGGUACCAGCUAUUAAUUAUUCAUAGUUAACGUUAUAAAAAAUGAAUAUGAAUUAGAUGGGAUAGUAGAUUUGGAUUGGAUCUUUAGAAGGAUGGAG